rnacentral:rRNA from 1 species
GUCGAACGAAGCGCCUGCGGCGGACCCCUCCGGGGGAAAGCCGCAGGGGACUGAGUGGCGGACGGGUGAGCAACGCGUGGGCAACCUGCCCCGUACCGGGGGACAACAGCCGGAAACGGCCGCUAAUACCGCAUAUUCCCGCGGGGCCGCAUGGCCCUGCGGGGAAAGCUCCGGUAGUACGGGAUGGGCCCGCGUCUGAUUAGCUUGUUGGCGGGGUAACGGCCCACCAAGGCUGCGAUCAGUAGCCGGCCUGAGAGGGCGGCCGGCCACAUUGGGACUGAGACACGGCCCAGACUCCUGCGGGAGGCAGCAGUGGGGGAUAUUGCACAAUGGGGGGAACCCUGAUGCAGCGACGCCGCGUGAACGAAGAAAUAUUUCGGUAUGUAAAGUUCUAUCAGCAGGGAAGAAAAUGACAGUACCUGACCAAGAAGCCCCGGCUAACUACGUGCCAGCAGCCGCGGUAAUACGUAGGGGGCGAGCGUUAUCCGGAUUCACUGGGCGUAAAGGGAGCGCAGGCGGCACGGCAAGUCCGGUGUGAAAGCCCGGGGCCCAACCCCGGGACUGCACUGGAAACUGCCGGGCUGGAGUGUCGGAGGGGCAGGCGGAAUUCCUAGUGUAGCGGUGAAAUGCGUAGAUAUUAGGGGGAACACCGGUGGCGAAGGCGGCCUGCUGGACGACGACU